AUUGAACGCUGGCGGCAUGCCUUACACAUGCAAGUCGAACGGCAGCACGGGAGCAAUCCUGGUGGCGAGUGGCGAACGGGUGAGUAAAGUAUCGGAACGUGCCCAGUCGUGGGGGAUAACGUAGCGAAAGUUACGCUAAUACCGCAUACGAUCUAGGGAUGAAAGCGGGGGAUCGCAAGGCCUCGCGCGAUUGGAGCGGCCGGUAUCAGAUUAGGUAGUUGGUGGGGUAAAGGCCCACCAAGCCGACGAUCUGUAGAUGGUCUGAGAGGACGACCGGCCACCCUGGGACUGGGAAACGGCCCAAACUCCGACGGGAGGCAGCAGUGGGGAAUUUUGGACAAGGGGCGAGAGGCUGAUCCAGCCAUGCCGCGUGCAGGAUGAAGGCCUUCGGGUUGUAAACUGCUUUUGUACGGAACGAAAAGGACUGCCCAACUACGGUGGUCCCAUGACGGGACCGUAAGAAUAAGCACCGGCUAACUACGUGCCAGCAGCCGCAGUAA
rnacentral:rRNA from 1 species